UAAAUCCGGCGGCUUACGUGGCUUUGCGCGUUGGCGCUCAUACUGUUCACUGACUAGACAUUUCACCAACUUCUUCGAUCAUUCGACACGUGGGCUCAUCAACGGCCAUUAUUCACUGUCGUUUGCGCUUCUCGCAACGUUCGAAACUCUUCGAAACUCUUAAACACUUCGUGCCAUUUCACUGUUUCAUUAUCUUCUACCUCUCUUCAAACUCUCGAAACGCUCUAGAGAACGCUCUGAUUCCCCCAACAACCAUCUUUUUGAAUAUUCUUCUGAUCAUCUAAAGGUAACUUUUUUAUCACUCCUACUGAUAUUUGCUGCAUUUUAAUCGGUUUGCAUCAUCCAUUACCUGUCUG
rnacentral:lncRNA from 1 species